rnacentral:rRNA from 1 species
AACCAGCACCUCAAGUGGUCAGGAGGAUUAUUGGGCCUAAAGCAUCCGUAGCCGGCUCUGUAAGUUUUCGGUUAAAUCCAUAUGCUCAACAUAUGGGCUGCCGAAAAUACUGCAGAGCUAGGGAGUGGGAGAGGUAGACGGUACUCAGUAGGAAGGGGUAAAAUCCUUUGAUCUAUUGAUGACCACCUGUGGCGAAGGCGGUCUACCAGAACACGUUCGACGGUGAGGGAUGAAAGCUGGGGGAGCAACCGG